rnacentral:rRNA from 1 species
GACGAACGCUGGCGGCGUGCUUAACACAUGCAAGUCGAACGGACAGGCCCUGCUUUUGUGGGGUGCUCGAGUGGCGAACGGGUGAGUAACACGUGAGUAACCUGCCCUUGACUUUGGGAUAACUUCAGGAAACUGGGGCUAAUACCGGAUAGGAGCUCCUGCUGCAUGGUGGGGGUUGGAAAUUUUCGGCGGUUGGGGAUGGACUCGCGGCUUAUCAGCUUGUUGGUGGGGUAGUGGCUUACCAAGGCUUUGACGGGUAGCCGGCCUGAGAGGGUGACCGGCCACAUUGGGACGGAGGUACGGCCCAGAGUCCGACAGGAGGCAGCAGUGGGAAAUGUUGCACAAUGGGCGGAAGCAUGAUGCAGCAACGCCGCGUGCGGGAUGACGGCCUUCGAGUUGUAAAGGGCUUUAGCCUGUGACGAAGCGUGAGUGACGGUAAUGGGUAAAAAGGCACCGGCUAACUACGUG